GCCGAGCCCCGAGGAAGCUGCGCACAGCAGGGCCCGUGGGUGCCGCCGGAAGCCGGGUGGUGUAGGGUGGUGGUGCCCACGUGGGUCACCUGGUUUUGGUUUUAACUUAGAUUACGGUCUUAACUGCCGCGAAGGGUCAGCGUUCUGCUGCGGUUCCGAGUUCGGAAUGUCACAGGUCCACUCUGGCUGUUGUGAGAGACCAAACUUGGGGUCAGGGAGGUGGCAAGGAAAAGCAAGAAGGCCAGGUAAGGAAUUCUUGUGGUAAUCCAGAUGCCUGUAUUAGAUAGUACCAGAUGACUUGUAGCCAGAAGGAUUUGCUGACAAAUUCAUUGUUUUGGGUGAGGGAGUAAGGAAAGCAUAAUUCUAAGGUUUUGAAUCGGGGCAUUUGAUAAAGUUGAGAAUCCUGAUUUUCAGAGUUAUGUUGCCAAAGGCAGCAGAAUACCAAGGCUCAUAAUUUAGUAAAGAUAGUACGAUGUAAGGAUUGACCCUUGCUGUGGGUAUAGAUUGUCCACAUUGACUCCUGGGCUAAGUAUUCAAUUGAUAUAUAACUUGGGCAAAUUAUUUAAUCUUUCUGUCCCUAGUUUUCUCCUCCAUAAUAGGAGCUAAUCAUUGGGUUGCUGCAAGGCUUAAAUAAUUUCACUCUC